rnacentral:rRNA from 1 species
GAUGAACGCUGGCGGCGUGCCUAAUACAUGCAAGUCGUGCGAACGGACGAGAAGCUUGCUUCUCUGAUGUUAGCGGCGGACGGGUGAGUAACACGUGGAUAACCUACCUAUAAGACUGGGAUAACUUCGGGAAACCGGAGCUAAUACCGGAUAAUAUUUUGAACCGCAUGGUUCAAAAGUGAAAGACGGUCUUGCUGUCACUUAUAGAUGGAUCCGCGCUGCAUUAGCUAGUUGGUAAGGUAACGGCUUACCAAGGCAACGAUGCAUAGCCGACCUGAGAGGGUGAUCGGCCACACUGGAACUGAGACACGGUCCAGACUCCUACGGGAGGCAGCAGUAGGGAAUCUUCCGCAAAGGGCGAAAGCCUGACGGAGCAACGCCGCGUGAGUGAUGAAGGUCUUCGGAUCGUAAAACUCUGUUAUUAGGGAAGAACAUAUGUGUAAGUAACUGUGCACAUCUUGACGGUACCUAAUCAGAAAGCCACGGCUAACUACGUG